UACGGAGGGUGCAAGCGUUAUCCGGAUUCACUGGGUUUAAAGGGAGCGUAGGCGGAUUGGUAAGUCAGUGGUGAAAUCUGUGGGCUUAACCCACAAACUGCCAUUGACACUGCUGAUCUAGAGUACAGUUGCCGUUGGCGGAAUAUGACAUGUAGUGGUGAAAUACUUAGAUAUGUCAUAGAACACCGAUUGCGAAGGCAGCUAACGAAGCUGUAACUGACGCUGAGGCUCGAAAGUGCGGGGAUCAAACAGG
rnacentral:rRNA from 1 species